rnacentral:rRNA from 1 species
AUUGAACGCUGGCGGAAUGCUUUACACAUGCAAGUCGAACGGCAGCACGGACUUCGGUCUGGUGGCGAGUGGCGAACGGGUGAGUAAUGUAUCGGAACGUGCCCAGUCGUGGGGGAUAACGUAGUGAAAAUUACGCUAAUACCGCAUACGAUCUAUGGAUGAAAGCGGGGGAUCGCAAGACCUCGCGCGAUUGGAGCGGCCGAUAUCAGAUUAGGUAGUUGGUGGGGUAAAGGCCCACCAAGCCAACGAUCUGUAGCUGGUCUGAGAGGACGAACAGCCACACUGGAACUGAGACACGGUCCAGACUCCUACGGGAGGCAGCAGUGGGGAAUUUUGGACAAUGGGCGAAAGCCUGAUCCAGCCAUUCCGCGUGCAGGAUGAAGGCCCUCGGGUUGUAAACUGCUUUUGUACAGAACGAAAAGGUUUCUACUAAUACUAGGAGCUCAUGACGGUACUGUAAGAAUAAGCACCGGCUAUCUACGUGCCAGCCGCCGCGGUAA